UGUGGAGGUGCUCGCACGCAGGGAGGGACCAGAGGAACCGCCCCAGCCGCUCGAUGUUGCCGCCUUGCUGGAGCACCUCGCAGACGCAGGCCACUUGCUCUUGGGUGAAGCCAAAAGUCGGGAGCAUCGACAUGAACCACAGCGGCGGAGGCUGAAUGGGAGCAGCUGUUCGCCCUAGCCGGAAAGGAGAUGUCAAAACCUGUUGCGUGGACGGAGCUCUGAGAAAGUCUCUUCUUAGCUCCCUAAAAUCAUUCUGAAACAAAUACACUUUUGGAUGAGGGUGUUAUGUUCAUGUUUAUUUUCAAGUGGAAGAAGGUUGGCAGCAGCAUUUGGCAUGCAUGGAAGAAGUCUGGGAUCUGGGCCUUAUAGUCAUCGUAAAGAAGUGAGCUUCGGCUUCCAAGAAGAGAAGAAAGUAAAGAGGUAUAAUUGGCAGUGUCGGAUUUGACCAAGGAGAAAUGAAUGGUGCAUUUUCAGAAAGGCAAUACCAGCCUCCACAGCCUCACAUGGCUCUGAAGAAGGACUGAGAAAAAGCAGAGAGUUUUGGACUUCUGGGGAGCACGUUUUUUUCUAUUGCUCCAGAAACUCACACUGACGGUACUUGACUGUCCCUCAGGUGAAGCACUGUAGAAGUCUUGCACGUGUUUUCAACAACAAACAUGAAAUUUUCCUUUCAAAAUAUUCUCUGUUCUCCCAUGAGGAGAUAUUCAUUUGUAACAGGUAUCUUUGCUUUGCCAAAGCUCUACCUCAGAGGUCACUUAGUGAUGCAAAAAGUGCAGUCUGGAGGUCAUCGAGGUCUGUGAGCGUACUGCCAGGAUCAGACCCACUGGGAAAGGCGAGCUCAGUGUCUGCUCCAGCUUCUCACUACAUGUGGGGAUGGGGCAGGCAGGUCCUUGGUCUGGGGCCAGUUCCUGUCCUGCCAAAGAGGCUUUGAGGGCAGAGCCAUGGGGUUUAUUUGUGUACCAGAGAGAACUGCUCAGCAGAGGCUACCAACUGUUUUACAGGCCUCCUGGAAAUAAGUGGCAGUAGUUACUGAGCUAUGCUAGGUAUGACCUCGUGACCUAGCAGUGGAAGGCUUUCUAUAUAAACCAUUUACUCAAGCAAAAUUAUGCCACAGGAAGGAAUAGGCUGAUUUUUCACCACCUCUAUUUAUUAUAACCAUUAUUAACUUGUUCCUUGAUAACUUGAUUUAUGAAGUUUGUGACAAAUUGCUUGCUUAAUUGAAAUAUGUCAGGUUUCUAAAUAUUGAAGUUAAUUAUUCCUCCUUUUCUAGUGGAAAUUGACCUUUAAUUGUGCAAUAUUAAUCCACAUAUUUUAUGAAUUAUGUGAAAUACCAUUUUCAUUGUACAGAGAAGCAUGCAUGUGUUAUUGUAGUGGAGUACAGUUACAUAAUUAUUUUUAAUUUAGGAUAUCAGUUUAAUUAAAUACUUGCAGAAACCAAGCUUUUUCAGGAAAUUUGCAAUUACAAUCAAUUUGAACGUACAGCUACAUUAAUAUGGUGACAAGCCCAAUAAUAAAAACUAAGAAAUUAUGGGCAGGUGCUGAACAGAUGUGUAAAUAGAAGGUCUCUGCAUGGAACUUUGUUAUAUAUCAUUUUGAAAAGAAAAGAAAAAAAAAAACCCACUCCACCCUGUUAUCCAUAGCCAGUCAUAUAUGCAGUUAUAAUCAGUCAGAAAAAAAGUUAGUUUGAGUUUAGAUAAAUCAUUUAAAAACGUAUAUGGCACUUAUGCUUUCAUUUUCUGUUUCUGGAGAGAAAGUCUAGUUGAUUGAAGACUGCUGCUCUACUGUACUCAAAGGGUCUGCCGCACUAUUGAAAUAUAUUCUUCUUUCAACACAUUUAUGAUGAGUGGGUUUU